rnacentral:rRNA from 1 species
UACGGAGGGUGCAAGCGUUAUCCGGAUUCACUGGGUUUAAAGGGUGCGUAGGAGGGCAGGUAAGUCAGUGGUGAAAUCUUUGGGCUUAACCCGAAAACUGCCAUUGAUACUAUCUGUCUUGAAUCCCGUGGAGGUGAGCGGAAUAUGUCAUGUAGCGGUGAAAUGCUUAGAUAUGACAUAGAACACCAAUUGCGAAGGCAGCUCGCUACACGAAGAUUGACUCUGAGGCACGAAAGCGUGGGGAGCAAACAGG